rnacentral:misc_RNA from 1 species
AAGUCGUAACAAGGUUUCCGUAGGUGAACCUGCGGAAGGAUCAUUACCAAAAAGUGAGAAAUCACUUUAACAACCGUGCCAGGUGGCCCUCUGGGCUGCUGAACCGGUCAACCCUUUGUGAACCAAAAAACCUUUCGCUUCGGCAGCUGGGCCUUGGCCGCCCAUCAGCCUGCCGCUAGCACCAACCUUCAAACCUGUUGUCAAACAUUGUCUGAUGACCAAAAUUUUCGAAUGAAAAUCAAAACUUUCAACAACGGAUCUCUUGGUUCCC